GAUUCCCUGCCGAGUGCGUGAUGGGUCGUUUCGGCUUGAGCCAACGUUCCUUACGCAGGGGACCCGAUGGACCAUAUCCGUGGUGUGCAAGCCCCUCCCGCAAGGGGAAGCCUGAAGCGGACCUAGGGACCCCACCUGGCGAUCAGGUUCAACCUGAUCUACCCACACGGCUUACGCGGGGAAACG
rnacentral:other from 1 species